rnacentral:rRNA from 1 species
AUAUCUCUGGUGGACCUGUUGUCCUGCCAAGGGCAUAGCAGGGUAGCUAUAUAUGGAAGGGAUAACCGCUGAAGGCAUCUAAGCGGGAAACCCACCUGAAAACGAGUAUUCCCUUGAGA